ensembl:processed_transcript
CUGAGCAUGGAGGAGUGAAGUCUCCUAGGAAUCUGCUAGAAGUUUCAGCAGAAGCAAACAAGUGCCAGAAUCCUGUCGCUGUGCCCAUACACUUGCCCGCAUUGAAGCCAGGUCGUACUCUUGUGAAGCCUUCAGCUAGACAGAAGUUCACAGAUCGAUCUUCAGGGCAUCAAGUGUCCAGGUUUUCUACCUUUGUAAAUAUUGAGGCACACAGAAACGGCAGCGACCCUGAGGUUAAGACUCACAUUUCCUUACCCAGACUGCCAGGUUUUCCAAAAGGACCAGUGAAGAAAAGAGUCGCUGGUGCUGAGACAAAAAAUCUCAUGUUGAGUCAAACUGAUGAUGAGGAUGUCAAGAUGAAGAGGCCUCAGUCAGCUAAAAGCAACCGUCUUCCGCUCUCAAGAAUCUGCUUGGGGUUUACAGAGCAUCCACAUGAGAACAAAUCAGAAACAUGUUUGUGAAUAACAGUGCAUGAAAACUGCUUUGAAGUGUGCUGUGUUCACCAAUAAAUGUUUUGUGCAUUAAAAUGA